rnacentral:lncRNA from 1 species
UCGGUGGUGCCGGUGCAGAAUGUGGAUGUGGCUCAGGAGAAUAAGAGUGAGGUGGUGAAGGAGGAACAAGUGAGUGAGACCAGUGAGGGGAAUAGCAAGCAGUUUGAGGAUAACCCGGGGGAUUUACCGGAGGAUGCGACGAAAGGAGAUAGCAAUGAGGGUGGUAAUCAGGUGGAAGAGAAGCAGGAGGAGAAGGGUGAGGAGAAGAGUGAAGAGAAGAUUGAGGAGAAAACAGAAGAUGGGUCGAAAACUGAGACUGAGGAUGGAGGAAGUAAGACUGAAGAGGGAGAGUCUAAGGGAAAUGAUGAUUCAAAUUCUGAAGAUGGAGAGAAGAAAAGUGAGGGUGACAAUGAGAAAAAGGACGAUUUGGGUGAGGGUGAGGGUGACAAUGAAAAGAAAUCGGAUGAUGACAAUGAAAAGAAAGCAGAAAACACCGAUGAAACAAAGGAGAAUACUCAAAUUGAGGAGAAAGUGGAAACAACUGACAAGGAGCAAGAUAGUGAGAAAUCGGAGAAUGGGCAGGCUGUGAACCAGAGUUCAACUGAGGUGUUUCCUUCUGUUGCUCAGUCAGAGCUUCUGAAUGAGACUACUGUCCAAAAUGGGUCCUGGUCAACUCAGUCGGCAGAGUCAAAGAAUGAAAAGGAGGCUC